GUUGGGUAGGGGAGCGUUCUGUAAGCCUGCGAAGGUGACCUGUGAGGGUUGCUGGAGGUAUCAGAAGUGCGAAUGCUGACAUAAGUAACGAUAAAGCGGGUGAAAAGCCCGCUCGCCGGAAGACCAAGGGUUCCUGUCCAACGUUAAUCGGGGCAGGGUGAGUCGACCCCUAAGGCGAGGCCGAAAGGCGUAGUUGAUGGGAAACGGGUUAAUAUUCCCGUACUUGGUGUUACUGCGAAGGGGGGACGGAGAAGGCUAUGUUGGCCGGGCGACGGUUGUCCCGGUUUAAGCGUGUAGGUGUGUGUUCCAGGUAAAUCCGGUUCACUUUAACACUGAGGCGUGAUGACGAGGCACUACGGUGCUGAAGCAACAAAUGCCCUGCUUCCAGGAAAAGCCUCUAAGCAUCAGGUAACAUCAAAUCGUACCCCAAACCGACACAGGUGGUCAGGUAGAGAAUACCAAGGCGCUUGAGAGAACUCGGGUGAAGGAACUAGGCAAAAUGGUGCCGUAACUUCGGGAGAAGGCACGCUGACACGUAGGUGAAGUGAUUUACUCAUGGAGCUGAAGUCAGUCGAAGAUACCAGCUGGCUGCAACUGUUUAUUAAAAACACAGCACUGUGCAAACACGAAAGUGGACGUAUACGGUGUGACGCCUGCCCGGUGCCGGAAGGUUAAUUGAUGGGGUCAGCGCAAGCGAAGCUCCUGAUCGAAGCCCCGGUAAACGGCGGCCGUAACUAUAACGGUCCUAAGGUAGCGAAAUUCCUUGUCGGGUAAGUUCCGACCUGCACGAAUGGCGUAAUGAUGGCCAGGCUGUCUCCACCCGAGACUCAGUGAAAUUGAACUCGCUGUGAAGAUGCAGUGUACCCGCGGCAAGACGGAAAGACCCCGUGAACCUUUACUAUAGCUUGACACUGAACAUUGAGCCUUGAUGUGUAGGAUAGGUGGGAGGCUUUGAAGUGUGGACGCCAGUCUGCAUGGAGCCGACCUUGAAAUACCACCCUUUAAUGUUUGAUGUUCUAACGUGGACCCGUAAUCCGGGUUGCGGACAGUGUCUGGUGGGUAGUUUGACUGGGGCGGUCUCCUCCUAAAGAGUAACGGAGGAGCACGAAGGUUGGCUAAUCCUGGUCGGACAUCAGGAGGUUAGUGCAAUGGCAUAAGCCAGCUUGACUGCGAGCGUGACGGCGCGAGCAGGUGCGAAAGCAGGUCAUAGUGAUCCGGUGGUUCUGAAUGGAAGGGCCAUCGCUCAACGGAUAAAAGGUACUCCGGGGAUAACAGGCUGAUACCGCCCAAGAGUUCAUAUCGACGGCGGUGUUUGGCACCUCGAUGUCGGCUCAUCACAUCCUGGGGCUGAAGUAGGUCCCAAGGGUAUGGCUGUUCGCCAUUUAAAGUGGUACGCGAGCUGGGUUUAGAACGUCGUGAGACAGUUCGGUCCCUAUCUGCCGUGGGCGCUGGAGAACUGAGGGGGGCUGCUCCUAGUACGAGAGGACCGGAGUGGACGCAUCACUGGUGUUCGGGUUGUCAUGCCAAUGGCACUGCCCGGUAGCUAAAUGCGGAAGAGAUAAGUGCUGAAAGCAUCUAAGCACGAAACUUGCCCCGAGAUGAGUUCUCCCUGAGACUUUAGGUCUCCUGAAGGAACGUUGAAGACGACGACGUUGAUAGGCCGGGUGUGUAAGCGCAGCGAUGCGUUGAGCUAACCGGUACUAAUGAACCGUGAGGCUUAACCUUACA
rnacentral:rRNA from 1 species